AACGAACGCUGGCGGCGUGCCUAACACAUGCAAGUCGAACGGAAUUAGAGAGCUUGCUCUUUGAUUUAGUGGCGCACGGGUGAGUAACGCGUAGAUAAUCUGCCUGACGAUCUGGGAUAACACUUCGAAAGAGGUGCUAAUACCGGAUAAGCCCACGGGUUCUUUGGAAUCUGCGGGAAAAGGGGGGGACCUUCGGGCCUUCUGUCGUCAGAUGAGUCUGCGUACCAUUAGCUAGUUGGUAGGGUAAAGGCCUACCAAGGCGACGAUGGUUAGCUGGUCUGAGAGUAUGGUCAGCCCCACUGGAACUGAGACACGGUCAAGACGACUACGGGAGGCAGCAGGGGGGAAUUUUGCGCAAUGGGCGAAAGCCUGACGCAGCAACGCCGCGUGAGUGAUGAAGGCCUUCGGGUCGUAAAGCUCUGUCAAUGGGAAAGAAGUGUAUUUUGGCUAAUAUCCUUAAUACUUGACGGUACCCAUAAAGGAAGCACCGGCUAACUCCGUGCCAGCCGCCGCCGUAA
rnacentral:rRNA from 1 species